ACUUUGGUGGUGGAGUGGUUAUCAUGGUCGCUUCCCAAGCUUGACUAUCGUCAACGUGCAAGCGAUCGUCCCGGGUUCGAACCCCGGCCAAAGUA